rnacentral:rRNA from 1 species
UAUUCAUACCCUCGUCUCAAAAAUUAACCCAUGCAUGUCUAAUUAUAACCAACUUAUACUGUGAAACUGCAAACGGCUCAUUAUAUCAUUUAUAGUUUAUUUGAUAAUUGUUUUUCGAAACUACUUGAAUAACCGUAUUAAUUCUAAAGCUAAUACAUGCACUUAAGGCCCAACUUAUGGAGGGUUGUAUUUAUUAAAUAUAAACCAAUGCUUUCUUCGAAACGGUGUUGUGGUGAAUCAUAAUAACUAACCAAAUCGUAUGGCCUUGUGCCAACAAUAAAUCAUUCAAGUUUCUGCCCUAUCGGCUGUCAACGGUAGUGUAUUGAACUACCGGGGCGUCAACGGGUAACGUAGGAUCAGGGUUCAAUAACGGAAAGGGAGCAUGAAAAACGGCUACCACAUCUAAGGAAGGCAGCAGGCGCGUAAAUUACCCAAUCCCAAUACGGGGAGGUAGUGACAAUAAAUAACAAUAUGGGGCAUUUCAAUGUCUUAUAAUUGGAAUGAGUACAACAUAAAUCCCUUAACAAGGAUCAAUUGA